GGUUCAAGCGAUUCUUGUGCCUCAGCCUCCUGAGUAGCUGGGAUUACAGGCACACACCACCAUGUCCGGCUAGUGUUUUGUAUUUUUAGUAGAGACGAGGUUUCACCAUGUUGGCCAGGUUGGUCUUGAACUCCUGAGUUCAGGCAAUCCACGGGCCUCGGCCUCCCAAAGUGCUGGGAUUACAGGCAUGAAUCACCACACCCGACCCAUAUUUCUUUUUAUUUGUUGAACACAUACUACUUGGAAGGCCCCGGCUCAGCACUGAGAAUCCAACAAUGGGUAAAAUACGGUCUCUGCUAGAGAGACCAAAACAAAGAGACAAAAACUGAGUGAACAUUAAAAAAUUAAUUGUGGGCCGGGCGCGGUGGCUCAUGCCUGU
rnacentral:lncRNA from 10 species